rnacentral:lncRNA from 1 species
UUAAGCUUCGAAGGGUUCUAAAUCAGAGGCUACUUCACUGAUUUUAAGACUUCUUUUGUAGGUUCACUUGUGGCCUACAUCGAUCUAAUUUUCAGCAACACUGUAGUUCAGUUCAGCACCGAUCUCGUCACCUUCCUUCGGAGUCUUGCCGCAACAGAUUGGUGCUAGAGGAAGGGGCUUUUGUCCAAAAUUUUAUAGAAAAUGAUAAAUCGGAGAGCACAAACUAAUUAUGUGCCUUCACUGUCUUUUUCGGAGGCGUGCCAGAAGCAAUCCCACCUCUAGUUGUCGUAAAUCUACAAUAAUUUAGUUUUUUAGAUCAGUAAGUCUAGGCUCUUACUGCUAUG